rnacentral:tRNA from 1 species
GGCUUCAUAGUUCAACGGAUAGAAUAGAAGUUUCCUAAACUUUUGAUCCAAGUUCGAUUCUUGGUGAAGCCACUA